rnacentral:rRNA from 1 species
AGCGAACGCUGGCGGCAGGCCUAACACAUGCAAGUCGAGCGCCCCGCAAGGGGAGCGGCAGACGGGUGAGUAACACGUGGGAACGUACCCUUCGGUUCGGAACAACCCAGGGAAACUUGGGCUAAUACCGAAUACGUCCGUAAGGAGAAAGAUUUAUCGCCGAAGGAUCGGCCCGCGUCUGAUUAGCUAGUUGGUGAGGUAAUGGCCCACCAAGGCUACGAUCAGUAGCUGGUCUGAGAGGAUGAUCAGCCACACUGGGACUGAGACACGGCCCAGACUCCUACGGGAGGCAGCAGUGGGGAAUAUUGGACAAUGGGCGCAAGCCUGAUCCAGCCAUGCCGCGUGAGUGAUGAA